ACAGAGCAAAAAAAAAGGUGUGAACACGUGGUGCCCAUACCCAGCCGACGACAUCCGAUAACAUCCGAUGGGGACAGGGGGUGGAAGCAGGGCGCGGCAUGAGAUUGACAGCCAGGUCAGCUCUAAGGGAACAGAAAUUUCCCUGUGAGGCAUCCACACAGGGUGGGAUGGGGUGGCUGUACUGCCCUCGUUGGGCUGCACAGAAAAAACCUGCAUCAUUUAAAAUAUGCAGCCAAUUCCAGGCAGCAAGGCCAAAACAAUGGCUUGUAAUUUCUUAAUCCAUACAGCAUUGUAAAGCUGCAUUUUCCCACCACAUAACAUACUGAAAUCUGAUCUUCCUCUCUUUAAAAUACAAGCUCUUGCCAGAGAAAAGUGCUUUAAGGGCCAUAUGUCCCGUCUGCAGAGUCAGUACUAACCAAGUUGGAAAUAAAGAGGCUUUGAUUUUCUAGCAGAGGACAAAUAUGAAACAGGGCUGAAGAAGGUCAAUAACAAUAUCUAAUUUACACAGUGUCUAAUUUAUACAAAACAGUUGGCCUCCGGAUGGCAGCAGUUAAAGGAGGAAGAAAUAAAGAAACCCACCUUAAACAUACGACAAUUAAAGAAAGAAUCAUUCUUUCUGAUUAAACCUUGAAAAAGGAGUUGCUUUACUGGGAUACAACACAGCAGGGAGCAUCCUUCUGAAGCUGCAGAGCUACCCAGAAGUUUUAAAAUCCCCAGGCGAUGUGGGAUGAGAAUGGAUUGGAGAGUUGCAGAUUCAUCCCCAAACUUCUGUGGAACAAUUCCUAACGCCAAGUUGUUAGGGAUGAUCAUCCCAAAUCGACAGACCUGUAACUCUCCAAGUCCUCCUCCAAGACAGGCAGCAGCAUCUCUUUGUGCAGGUGAAGAAACUGAGGCACAGAGAGAUGAAGGCUUCCACCUGGCCUGCAUCUGGAGAUAAACUGGCAUGCCUUGCAUCUGCUCAAUGCCCAGCAAACGUGCUGAAGCUUCCCGCUGCUUUUGAGAUCCCCUGGCACCAGCCCCGAGCCCAUGGCUGGUCUGACCGCAGCAGAGUACCCGACACAGGCGAUCCCUUGCCGUGCAGGGGUUUGUGCCUUCCUGCCCCUUAGAGGCAAGCAUCUUGUGCCUGUUUCCGUGCAAUAUCGCAAGGCAAAGGCUGGCUAAGCAGCACCAGGACUCGUCACGGUCAGUACGCAGACACAUGGCUCGGCCUGGCUGUGCAACGGAAGCUGCGCGUCGCAGUGAAUUGACUGAAUCGCUGUAAAACGCAGCCAGGACCUCGCUCCGUCACUGAACCCGGUGCAGAAGCUGAGGGCCUGGCUCCAGAAGCACGGCAAGGGGUGGCAACGUCGCCACCCCGCUCCUCUGGCUGCCCAGGUGUCCCCGUGGGUCCAGCACCCAGCGGGGAGCUGCACACUCCUGGGCCCGUCUUAACCAAGGUAUGAGCCUGGCUUUGAGGAGGUAAGGAGGAUUUUGGUGAUACGCAGCCUGCAGCCCUCCAUUCUCCUACCUUUCUCCCAAACUUAACAGUACAUUUCAUGUUCUAAUGAUUAAUAAAUCAUAGCUCCACCACCAGGAAAGACCUGUGGGAAAGUUUUUAAAACACAGUGAAAGAAUAUUUUUUCUCCCCAUCCCUUCUGGAGACGUCCCAGGGACACUGGUGUACAAAGACGGACUAAAUCCCUGCUGCUCAGACAGGGGCUUUCCCCAGAGCUGUACUGGGACGCAUAUUUUCCCUACAGGCACAGAUCCUGGGCUAGUGGUGCUACUCCAGAAGCCUCCAAGUCAAGCCCUGCCAACCAUCGCAGUCCUCCCACAGAAUUCCUGCAACCACCAUGGGAGCUUUCCCUGUGGGGAAGGGAAGAAACGCAGGGCACAAGCCGAAAAUACAGACGGUUUGUUUUUCUCUUUGAACUGGAGCAGCACUGCCCUACCUCAAGUGGUCUGAGUAUUCCCCUGGGUCAUAAAAUUAUGGUUGCUUAGUAUCAGAUGAAGUUUUGAAAGCGGAAGAUAUUAUAGUCUAUACUUGUCUCUUUUACGAGUUUAUGAAAAUUGUGAAAAUCGGCCUCUUCAAAGCUGCAGAAGAUCCUCCAACCUGUUGCCAUUAUCUAUCCUAGUAUUCCAUUUUUAAAGCACAUAGUUUAAGGAAAAUCUUUUCAGGCUUGAAAAAAAAAAAAAAAAAAAAAGCCUUUUUUCAGUGUCUUUCUCAUUUCUUGAAUGAUGAGAUGAAGCCCCACGGCUUGGCAAGUGAAACUAUGUAGGUGCAUCUGAGCUUCUGCUGGUUUAGGGGGCAGCAAAGGCUCCUCGGUCAGCCCUGUGCUCUGGUGGGUCCUUCUCCCGCCAGCCGGAAACAUCCCCAUUACGCUUCCAAGCCUGCUCUCCAACUCACAGCAGCAACCGAAGGGAAAAUACAACCCCUAAGGCAGGUGAGCAGCGGGAAAAUACAACCCCGGAGGCAGGUGAGCAGCAGGAAAAUCCAUCCCCCAAGGCAGUGAGAGUCAGAAAGGCUCCUGACAUCCAACAGCUGGGAAGCACCUCGCUGCAUCUUUCAGGGAUGGACGGAUCCUCUGUGGACACUGCCAGGACCAGAAGCCACCUCCGAGAGGCUGGCUCUCUUCCCCAGGAGAAGUCAGCAUUGGGCCCAGACCUCCUUUUUGCACAGGGCUCUUGUUGCUCAUGGAAGCCUCUGGUUUUGGAAAAAGAUAUUGUUCAAGGUGUGCUGACACCCCUGUGACCACCUCAGACUGGGCUCUUUGGUACUAAUAGCUGCUCAUUAACACCAAAGGCUAAUUACUACCAAUUUUUUAAUUAGAUAUUCAACGCCGCGUUGCACAAGGGGCUGGUCAGGUUGUUGCGCAGAAGACAGGCAGGUUCUGUGCACCACAAACAUGGAGCUGAGCAAAGGCAGAGGCUCCUUGCAUGAGCAACAGCCCCUGGCCAGGGAAGCGUUUCCAUUGUGGGCAAGGUUUUCAGCACACUUGGAGCUCUGCACAUGCUCCUGUGCUGCGUCAGAAGUGCAGGGAGAGCUCAGCACCACCGUGUGUGUCAUCAAGGUCACCUUUUGAAAGGGGAGGAUGCCACGCCACAGAUUUCUCCUGCAAAGGGCUCCCCAGAAGGGCCAUCCCAUGUGCGCCUGCUUGCCAAGAACCGUAAAUCAUCCCCAGCAGAAUUAAGACUGGCAUCAGAGCAUCAGCCAGGCCUUACCGUAACGCACCGCCGUCAUCUGUGCCUUCCUGAGCCGGAGCCACCCCGAGACGCUCCUGGAACGCUCCCAGGUGCGUGGCUGCCAAGGACUGUGUGCUGGUUACCAAAAGAGCUGUGUGUGGAUUCCCAGGAACAAUCCCUUCCUGUAAGCACAGUGAUGUACCUGUCCGUGUGGCGUGCCAGCCCUUCCUCUGCAUGAGCCCUGUGUGCUCAGGCUCCCCCUCGCUCCCCGCAUCUCUGCUCAGGGUUCGAGGGAAGCUGUUCAGAGAGAGGAAGAAAGUGAGAGAGACAGGGAGCAGAGGCCAACUCUUGUACACGUUGGUGUCCCUCGCACAGGCAUCAAACCAGGACCAGGGGACAAUCUGCCACAUCCCGCAGCACCGUGGUAUGGGGUGCCACCAGGACCCCAGGGUGCUUGAGCCCAUCAGGGACGUGGCUGUGCCUUGCUGCUGCUGUGACAACAUUGAAGACAGAGGCAGGAGAAAACCCAGAGCCUCUCUUUUGCUAAGCCAGCUUGGUAAAGGGCUCCCUUAUCUUCACUUUGGUGUGAGAUAAGGUUUCAAUGCUGCCAGAGCAGCUUUGUAUCUCGCAGAUACCUCCCUGUGCUGCAGUGGGUGUCAGGCGUUCACAAAAUAUUUGAGUAAGACCGUAUCUUUUUGAAACCCAUGUGCAAUGGAAAGACACACAGGGUGGAUCAGAUCGACGCUGCGUGGUUUUCGGUGUCUUGUUGUUCGUGUGAGGACAAAACGGGUUUCCUCAGCUGGUAGGACCGGGCUGGAAGGGCCUCUCACUGCAGGUCCCUAUACAGCACUGCUGCAGAGGGAACGGGGACACAAGUGUCCUGGCUCCCUGCUGGGCUGGGAAAGCUGGGCACUCUCCCCCUUGCUUCAAAGCCUUGGUGAUACGUGACCAUUUGAGAGCUGAUCCAGAUAAAUGUUUGUUUUAAUGAACCAGUGAGAGCUGUAUCCUAUUGCAACAAGCCACUUUCCUUAACACCCCUGACAUACGUGCAUAUAUGAAUAGCAAUAAUAAUAGCAAAAUAAUUUGUGUCUCUCCAGGAUGAUUUACUGAGCCGGGAGCUUGCUCUUCCCUUGGUGCUGUGCUGUUCCCUACAAGGGACCUGACUAUAUAGGUCUGGAAUACCUUCAGAGGCAAUUUAUUUCUAUGAAAUCCUCAUGUAACAUCACAAGGAAUGACUGGGAGGAAAAGGCUUGUCGUGAGAGUAGAGGACAAGGAAUAAAAGCCAUCCCUUUGCAGGUCUGACCAAAGAGCCAUGUGCUGCACCAGAGGCAUCAGUCGCGUGUGAUUUGGGUGGUGCAGGGGCAGGACCCUCCCAAUGCCCAAAACCCUCACCCCGGUUCACACAUCGCUAGCUUCAGCAGUCACCAAAAGGGGAAACGUUGCCCUCUCACCACAGCAAAGCUAUUUCCAUGUCACAAAUUGGUGCUAGAUCCUGCAAGGCGCCUUCUGGGCUGCUCCAUCCUCCACCAAAGUCCUGAGGGCCACGAGCCCUCCUCCCUGCCCGCAGCAACACUGCCUUUCCCAGCAACUUUCCCCGAUCUUUCCGGACAACAAUAAUUGAAAUAUUAAAACUACCUAAUUGUAGAACAAAACCCUUGCAACUGAUUAAAUUUUUCUAUGUUAAAAAUACCUGGUGUAUUGAAAAUCACACUCUAAAGGCCAGUUCUGAUCUCAUUCGUGUGGGACUAAGGCCAGACGAGGUCUCCACGGAGAAGUCCUGAAGAAUGGCCAGGCCUUAAACCAACGGUGGUCUGCAGAAAUUAUAAAGACAAAUACCAUGCAUCCCUAUAGAACUCGAUGUCUCUUUUUAAUAAAAUUAAUAAAAUGUGCAAUAGAUAGCUGUCUCCCUAUUAGUGGAUCUAAUACCUUGGCUUGAAAGUCCUCCCCAGGAAACAUAUAUGUCUUUUUGCUGACUUCACUGGAUUUCAGCAACAUAAUAGAGAAGUGGAAUUCAGCCUAAAAGCCAGACAGUGAAUGCAGAAGUCAAGACUUAGGAAAAAGAUAUAAAAAAAGAACUGUUGAUAUGUCUUUUCUCUGACACGUCCCAUCCUAUCGAAAUGGCCACUGCCUUUAUUUUGUUUAAUCACUUAUCUCCACGGAGGGAAGAGGAAAUUCCCAAGAACGCAUGAUCGUUAAAAAUAUUAGCCAGGCCUGGUGAUUAUUUUUGGUAGCUAAAAACUUCCUGGCCGAAGGGUUUGGGUUUGCAUUGGACUUCAGUAGAUGUUUUAGUAUAACUUUCAUAAAUACCCAUUAUACUCAAAUCGCUGUGCAGUUUACAAUUCAGCUGGGAAGGGCGGGUGUAUGUUUCUCUUUCUUUGUUUUGUAAUGCAGCAUGGUAAAGUGCACAGCGCUCCACUGAAUUAGGGUUUAGCUAUUUUCUUGUAUCCUUAAAUAAAGGACUAGUUCACACAG